rnacentral:lncRNA from 1 species
CAGCCUCCACAGCACCAAGGAGCAGCCAUCCCUGCAGGACCCUGGAGGGUGACGGUGCAGCUGGGGAGGUGUCACAGGCACUUCCUGACACUUCCUUGCCGUGCUGUCAGAACACUUCACACUUCAGUGGUGAGCCAGAAAGGAAAUCGAUGGACCUGGAGCUGCGAGGGAUUGCUCGCCGAUGACUUGACAAGACCAGACAAGCUUGACUGUCCCUUCCGGCGCCCACCCCAGAGGACAACUGGGCCGACUGGGUGAGCCCCUACCUUCCAGGAGCCUGUGGUCUCUUUGGAGAGCAUUCCAGAUGCCCGCAUCCCACCUGCCUCCCCUAAGGUUGCAGGACUCUGCUGCCCAGGAGCGGGACACAGUCACUGUCAAGAAUACCUGUGUACCUACAGAGGAGCAAAACGUCAGGCCAUGUGUCUGAGAGUCUAAAGGGAUGGAAGUCUGGGCGUGGGGUCACCUCUGCCCGGCCAGCUGUGUCCCUGGCUCCCAGGUGGGAUCUUCUGAGAGAGAGGAGACUCAGGUUGGCUUCUCCAGCCAACAGCCAAUCGAAGACGUCAACCAACUGCUCUGCUCACUUGAGCUGUGCUCACCUGGCAAGGGAUGCAGACAGUGGCUCCCAAACACUGGGAUGGACGAUGAUAAAGUGGUCCCUCGUCCCCUUGUGAACAGAAGACAAAGAGAUGUGAUGAAUGUUCCAGCUUGUUAAAUU